rnacentral:rRNA from 1 species
AGAGUUUGAUCCUGGCUCAGGAUGAACGCUGGCGGCGUGCUUAACACAUGCAAGUCGAACGAAGCACUUUAUUUGAUUUCCUUCGGGACUGAUUAUUUUGUGACUGAGUGGCGGACGGGUGAGUAACGCGUGGGUAACCUGCCUUGUACAGGGGGAUAACAGUUGAAAACGGCUGCUAAUACCGCAUAAGCGCACGGCAUCGCAUGAUGCAGUGUGAAAAACUCCGGUGGUAUAAGAUGGACCCGCGUUGGAUUAGCUAGUUGGUGAGGUAACGGCCCACCAAGGCGACGAUCCAUAGCCGACCUGAGAGGGUGACCGGCCACAUUGGGACUGAGACACGGCCCAAACUCCUACGGGAGGCAGCAGUGGGGAAUAUUGCACAAUGGGCGAAAGCCUGAUGCAGCGACGCCGCGUGAGCGAAGAAGUAUUUCGGUAUGUAAAGCUCUAUCAGCAGGGAAGAUAAUGACGGUACCUGACUAAGAAGCACCGGCUAAAUACGUGCCAGCAGCCGCGGUAAUACGUAUGGUGCAAGCGUUAUCCGGAUUUACUGGGUGUAAAGGGAGCGCAGGCGGUGCGGCAAGUCUGAUGUGAAAGCCCGGGGCUCAACCCCGGUACUGCAUUGGAAACUGUCGUACUAGAGUGUCGGAGGGGUAAGCGGAAUUCCUAGUGUAGCGGUGAAAUGCGUAGAUAUUAGGAGGGACACCAGUGGCGAAGGCGGCUUAUUGGACGAUAACUGACGCUGAGGCUCGAAAGCGUGGGGAGCAAACAGGAUUAGAUACCCUGGUAGUUCACGCCGUAAACGAUGAAU